rnacentral:lncRNA from 10 species
GUGGUCAGACCCUGUUUGAACACUUCCAGCCGUGGGCAAAUCAUCACCUCACACAGCAUCCACUGACAUGCUGGCAGUGUUUGUGGGAAGAGAAGUAGUAAAGCCACUGAGACCAGAAGGCUGGUACUGAGGCUCUGAAACACCAAGCCCUUCAAGCGUGAUGGAGGGAGCUGGUUUAUUAUUAAAUGGCAUUGUCCCCAAGGAGUGGCAACUCUCCACCUCUCCAUGAAAACACAACCUCCUAGAGAAGGUAUCUCUUUCCAACUACUGUGCCUUCAAUCUCCAACCUCAAUUGUUUCCCAUCAAGACAAUUUUUUUUUUUUUUGUAACAGGGUCUUACUUUGUCGCCCAGGCUGGCAUGCAGUGGCACAAUCAUGGCUCACUGCAGUCUUGACCUCCCUAGCUCAAGUGUGAUCUUCCCAUUCAGCCUCCUGAGUAGUUGGGACCACAAGCAUACACCACCAUGCUUGGGUAAAUUUUUUUUUUUUUAGAGAUGGGGUCUCACUAUAUUGCCCAGGCUGGUCUCAAACUCCUGGUCUAAGUGAUCCUCCUGCCUCAGCCUCCCAAAGUGGUGGGAUUACAGACAUGAGCCACUGUGAUUGACCUCUUUUUUUUUUUUUUGAGACAGUCUAACUCUGUUGCCCAGGCUGGAGUGCAGUGACACAAACUUGGCUCACUGCAACCUCUGCCUCCUGGGUUGGAGCAAUUCUCCUGCCUCAGCCUCCCAAGUAGUUGGGAUUACAGGUGCCUGCCACCAUGCCCGGCUAAUUUUUGUAUUUUUAGUAGAGACAGGGUUUCACUAUGUUGGCCAGGCUGGUAUCAAACUCCUGACCUUGUGAUCCGCCUGCCUCGGCCUCCCAAAGUGCUGGGAUUACAAGCGUGAGCCACUGCGCCCGGCCAGACCUCUUUUCUUUUUCUUUUUUUGCUAAUAAAACAGUUAAGACAAUUGUCCAUUUUAUUUGUUAAAUUGCUAAAAAGUCAUCAGGGGAAAACAUUAACAAAAAAU